GGUCCACUCUGUCACUCAAACGGAUCAAGCAGCGCGAGUCCCUGGAGCAGUUUGGUGUCGCAGGCUGGCUAAAGAAGUGAUAAACGUCUCCAAAUGCUUCAUCCGCAUUAUUAUCAUCACAGUCUGCAGCAGAGACUCAUUUUGGGCCUUUUUCCUGAGCUGCAGUCGGCACACCAGGCCUUCUUCUCCUCAGCUGAGACUCUCUGAGAAUCCCUGGCAGCUCAUAUAUCAAGGGAGAUCCUCACAGCAGCACUCCUCUUCCUUUUUCAAUGCACAGGGCAUCCACAAAGUGCACUGGACCAACGAUCAGAAGCUUCAGAGUUGAUGGGUCUUGGUUGUAGCAGCAGGCUGAAUCGUCAGCAACCGCGACCCUGACAGCUGCACAGGUACCUCACUGACGGAACAAAAAGACAAGUCUCUGACUGGAGAGAUGAGAAACGGGUGAGACAGCUGGCAGAAAAAACAAGUAGAGCACAGAAACAGUUUAAAGAAGUCUUUACACAUGUACUUUUAAAUCAUACAAAAUACUGUAAAUACGAUGUUUGUGCAGAUUUUGAGCAAAAAAAUAUGUCAAAGUUGGAAACAAACGCUAAGAUGAUGUAGUGGAAGGGGAAUUGUGAUUGUUGUAUUAAUGGUAAUCGUGAGUAAGUAAGUAAUUUUCUGGAAGUAAACAAGAAGUGGAUCCAAUAUUCAGCAUUUCUUUAAAAAAACAGAAUCAGAGUUUAUUUGUCAAUCUUAUUGCAGAUAAAAUAGAUUACAGUACAAAUAUGGAUCAUAUGACUAGUAUAUCAUUCUUUAGUUUAGAUACAUGUGGUCCAUUACUCCAUUACUCAAGCCCGAGCUUGUCCCAGCACAGUAAAAAUUGUGUAUAGACUAUGACAACCAAGAAUUCCUUUAUUUAUAUAUUCAAUUAAGAAAAUCCUACAACAUGCAUAACAGAAUUCAUUCUAUGUGUAACAUGAAGAAACUCACCUGAAUAAUAAGAAAUUAUUCAAUUUAAAAAUAAAGACUAAAACAACCUUGACUCCCAUACUUUCAAAGCGUUACGAACAUACAGAGCUUUAUUAAAUUGCCUGCCAUACAUUAAUUUGGCCUCUUAACAGCUGCAGUAUGUGAAAUAUCCAUGCUGAAAAACACAACUGGGAGCAAGUCCACAUGGAAAAUUAGCAACAUACAAUUAGAGAAAGAAAAUCUUCAUAUCUGGUUUCUAACCUUUAUAAGAUGAGGUAGGGUGAAUUGAAAAGGAGAAAUAAUUAAUUUAGCCCGGUGAAGAGCAAGAGAAUCCUCCCUUUGCCUAACAAGCAGCUCGCAUCCUCAGGGCAAUUAGUCACUGUCAUAUGAGGGCAAAUGUAGAACCCUUUGCAUGCUUGUUAAGUAAAAACUUACACAGGGGUCACUGACAUGUAAGAGAAAUGCAUGUAGCCAGUGAGCUGGAGAAGAUUUCAGAGUAAAAUAAGGCAGAUAAAACUCCACUGUUAGGAUAAAUCUGUUUCUGUGCGAUUUUUAACAUAAUUUAACUUUGUCUCAUUAACCAGGUUUGGCGCUUUGACUGAUGUUGAUCACCUUUUAUUCAAAUAUGAAACAAAAUGUAAUGCUGCGGACUAAAACACACAAGCCUCCAGAUGUAAACAAUAUGACAAAAUGUAUGUUUUCUUUUAUCACUUUCUGCUCGCACAGUAAUACAUGUUCACCUAAAUAAGGAUUAAUUCCCAAGCCCUCUGACACAUUGUAGAAUCUGGACACUGUUGCUGUCAAAUCAUUGUGUUUCCUUCAGUGCUGGUGUGAGAUUUUACAGAUUUUCACCCAACCAUCCAUGUCCAUCGUGUGCCAGAUCAUACUUCCAUCUAGACAAUUUAGCCCAAUGCGUCACACCAAACAAACCCUCCAUGUAGAGCAAACUCAAGAAUAA